AUUGAACGCUGGCGGCAUGCCCUACACAUGCAAGUCGAACGGCAGCACGGGGGCAACCCUGGUGGCGAGUGGCGAACGGGUGAGUAACAUAUCGGAACAUACCCUAGAGUGGGGGAUAACGUAGCGAAAGUUACGCUAAUACCGCAUACGAUCUAAGGAUGAAAGUGGGGGAUCUUCGGACCUCAUGCUCAUGGAGUGGCCGAUAUCUGAUUAGCUAGUUGGUGAGGUAAAGGCUCACCAAGGCGACGAUCAGUAGCUGGUUUGAGAGAACGACCAGCCACACUGGAACUGAGACACGGUCCAGACUCCUACGGGAGGCAGCAGUGGGGAAUUUUGGACAAUGGGGGGCAACCCUGAUCCAGCAAUGCCGCGUGAGUGAAGAAGGCCUUCGGG
rnacentral:rRNA from 1 species